rnacentral:rRNA from 1 species
GAGUUUGAUCGUGGCUCAGAUUGAACGCUGGCGGCAGGCCUAACACAUGCAAGUCGAGCGGAUGACGGGAGCUUGCUCCUUGAUUCAGCGGCGGACGGGUGAGUAAUGCCUGGGAAUCUGCCUGGUAGUGGGGGACAACGUUUCGAAAGGAACGCUAAUACCGCAUACGUCCUACGGGAGAAAGCAGGGGACCUUCGGGCCUUGCGCUAUCAGAUGAGCCUAGGUCGGAUUAGCUAGUUGGUGGGGUAAUGGCUCACCAAGGCGACGAUCCGUAACUGGUCUGAGAGGAUGAUCAGUCACACUGGAACUGAGACACGGUCCAGACUCCUACGGGAGGCAGCAGUGGGGAAUAUUGGACAAUGGGCGAAAGCCUGAUCCAGCCAUGCCGCGUGUGUGAAGAAGGUCUUCGGAUUGUAAAGCACUUUAAGUUGGGAGGAAGGGCAGUAAGUUAAUACCUUGCUGUUUGACGUUACCGACAGAAUAAGCACCGGCUAACUCUGUGCCAGCAGCCG